UACGAAGGGGGCUAGCGUUACUCGGAAUUACUGGGCGUAAAGGGCGCGUAGGCGGCGUUCCAAGUUAGGCGUGAAAGUCCUGGGCUCAACCUGGGGGCUGCGUUUUGAUACGUGCAGACUUGAGUUCGGAAGAGGGUCGUGGAAUUCCCAGUGUAGAGGUGAAAUUCGUUAGAUAUUGGGAAGAACACCGGUGGCGAAGGCGGCGACCUGGUCCGAUACUGGACGCUGAGGCGCGAAAGCGUGGGGAGCAAACAGG
rnacentral:rRNA from 1 species